rnacentral:rRNA from 1 species
GACGUAGGGCGCGAGCGUUGUCCGGAUUUAUUGGGCGUAAAGAGCUUGUAGGCGGUUUGUCGCGUCUGCUGUGAAAAUCCGGGGCUCAACCCCGGACUUGCAGUGGGUACGGGCAGACUAGAGUGUGGUAGGGGAGACUGGAAUUCCUGGUGUAGCGGUGAAAUGCGCAGAUAUCAGGAGGAACACCGAUGGCGAAGGCAGGUCUCUGGGCCACUACUGACGCUGAGGAGCGAAAGCGUGGGGAGCAAACAGG